CAAAUUCUAAUUUACAAUUAGAUAGAAGUCAGUUUGACAGUCUAUGUUCGACUUGUCAUUGGAUAUUGGAAAUUGAAAUUUAAAAAUUGCUCUAAGACGCUUAAGUCUAAACGCAAACUAUAUCUUUAUCAUUAAAUAACUCAGAAUAAUACAGUAUUAGAAAACAUUACAAUGACUGCCAUGCCAUCCGAUUCUGAAUCAAACGUUAGUGGAUUUAUAAGAUAUAGCGAUAAAGAUUUCAAACAUCUUUAUACAUCCAUGAUAGAGAAUAUGGAGAUUAUCAACCAGGAUCUUUUACAAAUUGAAAAGAACAUGAAAAGUAUUGUACAGCAAUCUGGUCCAUUAGAGAGUCAACUUUCAGUACUAUUACAAUCCCUGCCAAAACAGAACCUCAACCUGCCUAUGGAGACUGAAUAAACAUAUUUAAUAUUUAAAUAAAUACAUUAUUAACACAAAUAGUAAGUAGCAUUUAAAAACCUCUUUUUUGUUAUAAAUCACUUAUGAGAAAAUAUUUUAAGUGAUUAUGUUGGUAGGUAUAUCAUAGUCCAAUAGUUUUUGAAAUAUAACAAAUCACUAUUGUUGUUACAUCAUGAUUUGGAAGUGUUUACUUUUAUUGUAAUAUAGGAAAAUUGUUUUUGUAAUUAUAAUAUAUAUUUAGGUUUCGUUUAUAAAAGCUAUAAUAUAUUGUAUUAGGGAUUAAUCUAAGUUAAUUAUUUUAUAUAACACUAACAAUGCAAUAAAGUUGAUUUCAGUGUA